rnacentral:rRNA from 1 species
AGUGAACGCUGGCGGUAGGCCUAACACAUGCAAGUCGAACGGCAGCACAGGAGAGCUUGCUCUCUGGGUGGCGAGUGGCGGACGGGUGAGGAAUACAUCGGAAUCUACCUUUUCGUGGGGGAUAACGUAGGGAAACUUACGCUAAUACCGCAUACGACCUACGGGUGAACGUGGGGGACCGCAAGGCCUCACGCGAUUAGAUGAGCCGAUGUCUUAUUAGCUAGUCGGCGGGGUAAUGGCCCACCAAGGCGACGAUCGGUAGCUGGUCUGGGAGGAUGAUCAGCCACCCUGGAACUGAGACACGGUCCAGACUCCUACGGGAGGCAGCAGUGGGGAAUAUUGGACAAUGGGCGCAAGCCUGAUCCAGCCAUACCGCGUGGGUGAAGAAGGCCUUCGGGUUGUAAAGCCCUUUUGUUGGGAAAGAAAUCCUGUCGAUUAAUACUCGGUGGGGAUGACGGUACCCAAAGAAUAAGCACCGGCUAACUUCGUGCCAGCCGCCGCUGUAAUAC